GGAAGUAAAAGUCGUAACAAGGUUUCCGUAGGUGAACCUGCGGAAGGAUCAUUCACAAUACAAAAACUCACAUCCUGUGAACCCGCUAAUGGCCCUGCCAUUGGCAAUCACACAUACCGGUCUGCUUGGUAUGUGGCUGUGCAAACAGUUGCAGACAACUUGUGGUGGUUAUAUCCUAAGAUAUUCAUAAGCUCUAUACACUAUUAGCGGUGGAUGUCUUGGCUCCCACAACGAUGAAGGCCGCAGCAAAAUGCGAAACGCAUUGUGAUUAGCGGAAUUCUGUGAAUCAAUAGGUCGCUGAACGCAAACGGCACUACUGCGUGAGCAGUAGUAGGUCUGUUUCAGUCUCAAUUGCAAUCUCACCAAACAAUUUGUAUUAAGGUACAAGUUGCUAUUGGUGAGGUAAUGUGCUGCUCGAUACGUCUGGCAGUCGCAGUGUUCUAUAACAGUUCAUUAGGUUAACAUAUUGGUUUAUCAUAUGUUGCUGAAGAACUACUAAGUUAUAGCAUACUAUACCCUAUGAGCCGAAAUCAGACCAGGCUGCCCGCUGGACUUAAGCAUAUUAGUCAGCGGAGGA
rnacentral:rRNA from 1 species